UACGUAGGCAGCAAGCGUUGUUCGGAGUUACUGGGCGUAAAGGGUGCGUAGGCGGCUUCUUAAGUUUGGUGUGAAAUCUCCCGGCUCAACUGGGAGGGUGCGCCGAAUACUGAGGGGCUAGAGUGUGGGAGAGGAGAGUGGAAUUCCAGGUGUAGCGGUGAAAUGCGUAGAUAUCUGGAGGAACACCGGUGGUGUAAACGGCUUUCUGGACCAUAACUGACGCUGAGGCACGAAAGCGUGGGUAGCAAACAGG
rnacentral:rRNA from 1 species